rnacentral:tRNA from 1 species
GCACGGAUGGCCGAGUGGUCGCCAGACUCAAGCGACAGGCUUCCUGCGAGAAAUGCGGGGUGGGUAUUCUGCUAUGGUGAUCCAUGCGUGGGUUCGAAUCCAACUUCGUGCA